AACCAGAUCCCUGCCUCCUCCUCUCUCUCUCCCCAACCAUGCUCUUUCUCCUCCAACGCGUAACCAUUAUUGGCGGAGGCUGUUGCACCAGAAUCGCCAGAGGCUAGGUGGCACCCAGGUCAGUGAAUUUCAAUAGAUAGAUGAAUGCGUGAAACUCUACAAAUUGAAUGCAUAAUGUAACCAAAGCCAUGCCUCCUCUCUCUCUCCCCAGUCGUGCUCUUCCUCCUCCAAUACGUAACCAUUCUCGGCUGAGGCUGCUCUACCAGCAAUGGAAGAUAAGAUACUAGCCUUUGUCUCUCUCUUUCUCUGUAAGGGCGAUGAUUCAAUUGAGCCUGACCUCUCACAAUAAUGGAGAGAAGGGAGCCUUAAGAGGCAGAAGUCCAACCCUCACGUACGACUGUGUCUUUAAAUAGCACCCUCAACCCAUCGCCGCCUGCUUUCCCUUUCCUUCUCAAUUUUUUUCCCCUUGCCCUUACUCCCUGCACGAGCACUGCGCCAUCAUUGUGGGAGGCCUCUGGAGCAAAGGCAAUUGCAUGAAGCUGCCAUGAGGUACGUCGAACGCGGCGGACGAGCUAUGUGCAGGGGUGGGAGUGUCAUGAACAAGAUUCAAAGCAACGAGUUACAAGUUGGAGGUGUGGGCUGCAGCUGAAGACUGAAGCGACUACUUUCCGAAGAAGUUCGAGAAUCUUGCUCAUUCAAGUACCUCAAAUGGGCUGAUCCAUUUCAGACAGUGUGUCAUUUGCCACAUUUUCAGAUCAAGGCAACAUGGGGGAUGACAUUGAACCCGUCGAGCAAGAUCACCUGCUCGUAAAUCGCCCCCCAGCC